rnacentral:rRNA from 1 species
AUUGAACGCUGGCGGCAUGCCUUACACAUGCAAGUCGAACGGCAGCACGGGAGCAAUCCUGGUGGCGAGUGGCGAACGGGUGAGUAAUAUAUCGGAACGUGCCCAGUCGUGGGGGAUAACGUAGCGAAAGCUACGCUAAUACCGCAUACGAUCUAUGGAUGAAAGCGGGGGAUCGCAAGACCUCGCGCGAUUGGAGCGGCCGAUAUCAGAUUAGGUAGUUGGUGAGGUAAAGGCUCACCAAGCCGACGAUCUGUAGCUGGUCUGAGAGAACGACCAGCCACACUGGGACUGAGACACGGCCCAGACUCCUACGGGAGGCAGCAGUGGGGAAUUUUGGACAAUGGGCGCAAGCCUGAUCCAGCAAUGCCGCGUGCAGGAUGAAGGCCUUCGGGUUGUAAACUGCUUUUGUACGGAGCGAAAAGGCUCUCUCUAGUACAGGGGGCUCAUGACGGUACCGUAAGAAUAAGCACCGGCUAACUACGUGCCAGCCGCCGCCGUAACAC